rnacentral:lncRNA from 1 species
AUGAACGCCUUCAUGGUAUGGUCCCGCGGGCAGCGGCGCAAAAUGGCCCUGGAGAACCCCAAGAUGCACAAUUCUGAGAUCAGCAAGCGCUUGGGCGCCGACUGGAAACUGCUGACCGACGCCGAGAAGCGACCAUUCAUCGACGAGGCCAAGCGACUUCGCGCCGUGCACAUGAAGGAGUAUCCGGACUACAAGUACCGACCGCGCCGCAAGACCAAGACGCUGCUC